rnacentral:rRNA from 1 species
GCUGGCGCGCGCUUACAMUGCAAGUCGCACGAGAAAGGGAGCAAUCCCAAGUAAAGUGGCGCACGGGUGAGUAACACGUGGAUCAUCCACCUUCUUGUGGGGAAUAACCUGGGGAAACCCGAGCUAAUACCGCAUAAGCCCGAGAGGGGAAAGCAGCAAUGCGCAGGAAGAGGAGUCCGCGGUCGAUUAGCUAGUUGGUAGGGUAAAAGCCUACCAAGGCUAUGAUCGAUAGCCGGCCUGAGAGGGCACACGGCCACACUGGCACUGAAACACGGGCCAGACUCCUACGGGAGGCAGCAGUGGGGAAUCUUGCACAAUGGGGGAAACCCUGAUGCAGCGACGCCGCGUGGGUGAUGAAGUCCUUCGGGAUGUAAAGCCCUUUCGACGGGAACGAUAAUGACGGUACCCGGAGAAGAAGCUGCGGCUAACUACGUGCCAGCAGCCGCGGUAAUACGUAGGCAGCAAGCGUUGUUCGGAGUUACUGGGCGUAAAGAGUAUGUAGGCGGUUGGGUAAGUUUGGUGUGAAAUCUCCCGGCUUAACUGGGAGGGUGCGCUAAAGACUGCCUGGCUUGAGUGUGGGAGAGGARAGCGGAAUUCCUGGUGUAGCGGUGAAAUGCGUAGAUAUCAGGAGGAACACCUGCGGUGUAGACGGCUUUCUGGACCAUAACUGACGCUGAGAUACGAAAGCGUGGUAGCAAACAGGAUUAGAUACCCUGGUAGU